rnacentral:ncRNA from 1 species
GUUCUUCGGGGCAGGGUGCAAUUCCCUACCGGCGGUACAGCCCGCGACCCGCUGGAAGCAAUUCCGCGGCCGAUCCGGUUUGAGUCCGGAGCCGACAGUCACAGUCUGGAUGGAAGAAGAU